UACGUAGGGUGCAAGCGUUAAUCGGAAUCACUGGGCGUAAAGGGCGCGUAGGCGGCCCUCCUUGUCGCGUGUGAAAGCCCCGGGCUCAACCUGGGAACGGCGCGCGAGACGGGGGGGCUGGAGUUCGGGAGAGGAGCGUGGAAUUCCCAGUGUAGAGGUGAAAUUCGUAGAUAUUGGGAAGAACACCGGUGGCGAAGGCGGCGCUCUGGACCGAGACUGACGCUGAGGCGCGAAAGCGUGGGGAGCAAACAGG
rnacentral:rRNA from 1 species